UACAGAGGUCUCAAGCGUUGUUCGGAUUCAUUGGGCGUAAAGGGUGUGUAGGUGGCGCGCUAAGUCGGGUGUGAAAUUUCGGAGCUUAACUCCGAAACUGCAUUCGAUACUGGCGUGCUUGAGGACUGGAGAGGAGACUGGAAUUUACGGUGUAGCGGUGAAAUGCGUAGAUAUCGUAAGGAAGACCAGUGGCGAAGGCGGGUCUCUGGACAGUUCCUGACGCUGAGGCACGAAGGCCAAGGGAGCAAACGGG
rnacentral:rRNA from 1 species